rnacentral:rRNA from 1 species
UACGUAGGGUGCAAGCGUUGUCCGGAAUUAUUGGGCGUAAAGGGCUCGUAGGCGGUCUGUCACGUCGGGCGUGAAAACUCAGGGCUUAACCCUGAGCCUGCUUCCGAUACGGGCAGACUAGAGGUAUGCAGGGGAGAACGGAAUUCCUGGUGUAGCGGUGAAAUGCGCAGAUAUCAGGAGGAACACCGGUGGCGAAGGCGGUUCUCUGGGCCGAUACUGACGCUGAGGAGCGAAAGCUAGGGGAGCAAACGGG